rnacentral:rRNA from 1 species
UUAUCCGGGCUACACGCGGGCUACAAUGGUCAGGACAAUGGGUAUCGACACCGAGAGGUGGAGGCAAAUCUCCUAAACCUGUCCUUAGUUCGGAUUGUGGGCUGCAACUCGCCCACAUGAAGCUGGAAUCCGUAGUAAUCGCGUUUCAAAAUAGCGCGGUGAAUAUGUCCCUCGGCUCCUU